UCGGAGUGACGAGCAGCUCCAAAGCGGCACCACCAAGCAACUUCCCCGUCACCACUGGCAACAUCAAAGCUGUCGACGCCGACAAUCCCGCCCAGUAGCCACACCAUCAGUGUCCACCGUCGUCGGUCCAUCCAAGCAAGCAGCACUAGCUAUCCAUCAUCAAACUGAGAUUCAGGAGCAAUCGUCCACCCAAACAUGCAAUGCAACCGCCCAUACUCCUGCCACAAACAACGGAUUCCGCCGCCCGCUUCGCCUUCUACUACCCCGCAAGCACAGUCGUCCUCCUCAACCCAACGAACCAAAACAAAUCAGACCGCGUCCAUGGAGACUUAUCCCACCCAAGCCCCAAAAUCUCGUCGAGUUACCCUGCCUAAAAAAAGUUAGCCUAGAUGCCCGUCCGAUGACG
rnacentral:lncRNA from 1 species